AAAUUGAAGAGUUUGAUCAUGGCUCAGAUUGAACGCUGGCGGCAGGCCUAACACAUGCAAGUCGAGCGGAAACGAGUUAUCAGAACCUUCGGGGAACGAUAACGGCGUCGAGCGGCGGACGGGUGAGUAAU
rnacentral:rRNA from 1 species